UACAGAGGGUGCAAGCGUUAAUCGGAAUUACUGGGCGUAAAGGGCGCGUAGGUGGUUGGUAAGUUAGAUGUGAAAUACCUGGCUUAACCUGGGAUGGUCAUUUAAUACUGUCAAUCUGGAGUAUGGUAGAGGGUAGUGGAAUUCCGGUGUAGCGGUGAAAUGCGUAGAUAUCGGAAGGAACAUCAAUGGCGAAGGCAGCUACCUGGACUGAUACUGACACUGAGGCGCGAGAGCGUGGGUAGCAAACAGG
rnacentral:rRNA from 1 species